AUUGAACGCUGGCGGCAGGCCUAACACAUGCAAGUCGAGCGGAGCGGCGGACGGGUGAGUAAUGCCUAGGAAUCUGCCUGGUAGUGGGGGAUAACGUCCGGAAACGGGCGCUAAUACCGCAUACUAUCAGAUGAGCCUAGGUCGGAUUAGCUAGUUGGUGGGGUAAAGGCCUACCAAGGCGACGAUCCGUAACUGGUCUGAGAGGAUGAUCAGUCACACUGGAACUGAGAAAAGGGUCAGAAUCCUACGGGAGGCAGGAGUGGGGAAUAUUGGAAAAUGGGCGAAAGCCCUAUCCCGCCAAGGCGCGGGGGGGAAGAAGGGUUUCGGAUUGGAAAACACUUUAAGUUGGGAGGCGUUACCAACAGAAUAAGCACCGGCUAACUUCGUGCCAGCAGCCGCGGUAAUUC
rnacentral:rRNA from 1 species